UACGGAGGAUGCAAGCGUUAUCCGGAAUCAUUGGGCGUAAAGGGUCCUGAGGUGGUUUGCUAAGUCUACUGUGAAAGAUCAGGGCUCAACCCUGAAAAUGCGGUGGAAACUGGCAGGCUAGAAUACGGUAGGGGCAGGGGGAAUUCCCGGUGUAGGCGGUGAAAUGCAUAGAUAUCGGGAAGAACACCAAAGGCGAAGGGCACCCUGCUGGGCCGAUAUUGACACUGACAGACGAAAGCUAGGGGAGCAAACCGG
rnacentral:rRNA from 1 species